GUCCCGUCCCUGUUCCUCCCGGCCCCUCCACCCCAGGAAGCGAACGGGUCUUCCUGGAGUCGGGCUGCUUGGAAAUGCAGCCCAAGGCGGAUGAUAAAUUCCAUCUAAGGCUGAAUACUGAGACUAGGGAAGCAAUGUUUUCUUCCCCCCCCAUAACCGGCUUGAGUGCAAAUAGAGAUGCCUGCUGGGGAUUUAACAACUUUGACAUCUCGCUUUGACUUUUCUCAAAGCCCUGUCCUCAUUAUUAAAUUAGUGUUAAUUGGCUUUAGAGAUGGGAACCAAAUUUUCAGUCACAAAUUUUGACACCCUCAAGGGGACUUUUAAGGAGUUCCCACUCUGCUUUCUUGGGGAAGCCUAGCACUCGAAACAACUGCAAGCAGAGGAUGGACUUUUUGGGAACUGGCUACUAACAAGUUAGAAAAAAAAAAAAAGCCUAAACUAGAGGAACUGAUCCUGUGGGUGAAAGAUAGGAUUAAGGGACUCCCAGCAGCUGCCAGAGCCAUUUAGCUCUGGGGAGUUCCCUGGGUCCUUAUCUACAUCUUAAGGAUCUGUUUACUUAACCUGUGUUUACUUAAAAAGAAGGGACACUGAAUGCAGUAAAGCCAGUCACACUGAGACCCUUGAUUUUACACCUAUAGUUGCCCCUACGUGAAAACAUCUGGUCCACUCAUAGGAAAGUCUAUGGUGCCACUGAUGGGAGUCAUAAUUAAAUGAAAGUUCAAAACCUGGAGAAAUAUUUUCUUAUCUGGUUGUCUGAUUGUUUCUUAGGGAUAAUCUAGGUUAAAUGUGUGUCUAAAAAAAUAAAUAAUAAUAAUUUUUUAUUGUAACAAUCUGGUAUCUGAAUGGGUUUCUAAAGCAUUGCACUAUCUUGCAGUUAAAAGUUGGGUUUAAGCAAUUGUUUAGUUUGAUUUCAGAUAGUUCAUGCUAGAAAACUUAAAUACUUGGGAUAAAAAAAAAAAAUAAAAGUUUCAAUUUUGAACUGGGUAGCCUGAAAAAAAAAAUUAAAAAUAGAUCCAAAUAUCUUUAAUUCACUUGAUUCAAACGGUUCAAUUUAGAUUGGGUAAACAGAUAAAAGUAAAGAUGUCCUCAAAAUUAAGCUUAUAAGUUUCUCUAGGUGUUCAAAAAGGCCUUAAUAAAAUGUUAACUCUGCUUAAAUUUAAAAGUUUACAAGUAUUGUUUCAAAAUGUGAACAAAAGGAGGUUUAUAUAAUUAUGGUGUUAUUAAUGUGUUCAUAUCUUCCAGGUAUACAAGUCUGUAAGGUAGAAGCUUCAAAAGAACAUUAUAUCAAGCUGGUGUUCUAAAGUUGUAUGGUAAUUUUAGGCUUAAAAAAUAAAUGUUGGAGAUUCAAUUAUAUCAUUUGUGUUCUAUAACUGAACUUGUUAUCAAUAAGAUAUGUACGGUUCCAUGUUACUUUCUACUCUAAGAUACAAUUUAUGUAUUUUUAAGUUAAUAAGAGCCUAAUCUAUGUGAAGGUUUUAUUGCAAAACACAAAAGUACAUUACUACUUUUCUACAAGAGGUUAAAAGCUUUCAGCCUUUAAUUCAUAUUUUAGGUGUGAUAUUAUGUUGUGUUAGCUAAUGUUCAUGUAAACUUGAACAACAAUUUAUGUAAACUUUGUAAAAUGAUCAGCUUCAGAACUAUAGUACUUGAGAUUUAUAAAGAGCCCUGCCUUACUUGAGAUAAGGCUCUGUCCCAUCUCACUACAUGUGAAAGUGGCUAUGAAAAAAGUAAGCCAGAUUUCAGUACAGUUAAAGUUGUGUCCAAAAGUAGGUUUUUGCCAAGAUUACUAGGAUCUCAAACAGGAAAUUAUGAUGUAUAACCCUGCCAGAAUUCAAGGUAGCUAUUAUAUAAGCUAAAUAUGUUUUUACCCUAGUUAGUUUUGUUUUGUAGUUUGCUUAUAGAUGGUUUAAGGAUUUCCUAUUAAUAUUCUAAAGAGGUAUUGCUUUAAGAACACAACCUGGGUCAACAUAAGAUAAAGAGUUAUCACCUACAGGAUAGAGAGAUAGACAUUAAAGCCCAGUGCUCUUAAUAUAAGGAUGUUAACUUAUUUGCUGGAUGUUUAAGAUCAAGUUUUUAAAAUUAAUUAAAUUAAAAGGGCCAAAAAAACCAAUAUUUGGCUCUUGCCCUCUGAGUCAGUCUGAAUCAGGGAAUAGGGGACUUCUCCAAAGGGCUCAGCAACUCUAGGCCACAUAACCUCCUGAGCAGGGAGAUUAAUGAGACCAGUGGAGGACAGAAAGCCAAAUGGUGCAUUUGCUGUAAAGAGGAGGGUCAUUAAAAAAGGGAGACAUCCCUGAUGCUUCUGAGGGAAGCCAUACGGUCAAACAAGGCCUGGACCCAUCCUAGCGCAAAUGGCACUAGCAGAACUGAAAAGCUGCUAUGAAGUUCCCGAGGACUCCCAGGAUAACUCAGCUGACUGUAAACAAUAGGUAGAAACAAAAGUCAGUUUGACUUGCUUCAUCUUAAACACUUAGCAAAGACAGUCAAAGCCAAAGCACAGCUGUUCCUGGACAUCUUAAAUGAUAAUAAUAAUUAAAUGUAACUUCCAUAAAUAAAUAGACUGGAGGCUACAAGAGAGAUUCUUAGACAGAAAUGCCUGAUAACUGUCAAAGGGACUACUAGAAUAGUUUUAGUCUAAGGCUUUUAUUUCUAGCCAACGCAGGUAGACUUGAUGUUUGCUAAUAUGGUUAUCCAGCCCUAAGUAGCAGAAUUAAAGAUUUCUCUAUUAGACACAGAGGAGAAACAAAAGGUUCUCUUGGAAGCUCGCAAAAAUGUGCCAGGGGAUGUUGGGCGCCCCACCCAACUCACAAAUUUGAUUAAUGAAGCUUUUCCUUUAACCCGGCCAAACUGGGACUAUGCGACUGAAGCAGACUCAUUUGCAUGCUUUGCAAUUGGUCCAGAACGAGGUCUGGAAGCCUCUAGCCGCAGCAUACAAAGAGGAACUUAAAACCCCCUUGCUGCCACAUCCCUUCAAGGUCGGAGAUACCGUCUGGGUACGCAGGCACCAGAGCAGGAACCUCGAACCGCGGUGAAAAGGACCCUACACUAUCCUGCUGACCACUCCUACUGCACUCAAAGUGGACGGCAUCGCUGCUUAGAUCCACGCUUCCCACGUGAAGACUGCACAUCCACAGGAGUCUGCAGACACCUCUCCGGAUCCAGAAUGGAAGUUGCAACGUACCCAAAAUCCGCUAAAGAUAAGACUCACUCGCUGUUAUUUUUCUUGCUUUGUGCUGUGUCUUCCCCAUAUCAGUUAACCCCAACCAAUCUGUGAGCCAGACAUGACAAGUAUUAUCGGGGACAAGAAAUAUAAUUUAAAAAAAAAAAUCCGCAAAAUACCCCCUUUGGGCUUGAUGGCCUACCCUAGGGCCUGAUCUUUGUCACCUGCUGGCUGGGGCAAACGACUUUGAUAGCCCAGGUGAGUCAGAAGCGUGCGUCACCAGUGGACACUGCACCUAUAUAAAUCGUCCAACAGGGUGUAAAGAUCUGAGAGCUCGAGCGGCUCUAAGAGAAAAACCCUUCUAUGUAUGCCCUAGGGACGGGAAAACUAGGUCGCAGGCACAAAAAUGUGGGCAACAUGAAAGUUACUAUUAUAAGUCUUGGGGAUAUAAAACUACGGGGGAUGCAUAGUAGAAGCCAAGCUCAUGUUAGGAUUUAA